rnacentral:sRNA from 1 species
UAUUCUGCCCCACGGGGAAGGAUGAGAAGCUUCGACUAAGGUUCGACUCGAGCGAAGCGAGAGAACGUUACCGCAGGCAACGGCCCGAAGGGCGAGGAGCGAUAGCGACGAGUUAUCCUUCCCCCACCACCA